GUGGGGAAUAUUGCACAAUGGGCGAAAGCCUGAUGCAGCGACGCCGCGUGCGGGAUGAAGGCCUUCGGGUUGUAAACCGCUUUUGACGGGGAGCAAGCGAGAGUGAGUGUACCCGUCGAAUAAGCACCGGCUAACUACGUGCCAGCAGCCGCGGUAAUACGUAGGGUGCAAGCGUUAUCCGGAAUUAUUGGGCGUAAAGAGCUCGUAGGCGGUCCGUCGCGUCUGGUGUGAAAGUCCAUCGCUUAACGGUGGAUCUGCGCCGGGUACGGGCGGGCUGGAGUGCGGUAGGGGAGACUGGAAUUCCCGGUGUAACGGUGGAAUGUGUAGAUAUCGGGAAGAACACCAAUGGCGAAGGCAGGUCUCUGGGCCGUUACUGACGCUGAGGAGCGAAAGCGUGGGGAGCGAACAGG
rnacentral:rRNA from 1 species